rnacentral:tRNA from 1 species
UAUCCCAUCCCAUGAAGGAGCCGAAUGGGUCGAAAAGCCCAAGCUACUGAUGCGGGUUCGAUUCCCGCUACCCGCU